rnacentral:tRNA from 1 species
GCCUCUGUAGCUCAGUUGGUUAGAGAGCUGCACCGGAAUCGCAGGGCCGUAGGUUCAAUUCCUACCAGAGGAC